ACUUCGCAAAAACCCUCGCUCGCUCCCGAUCCGGGUCGUUUGAACGUGUUUACCAUGAAUUUAUAUAGGUAUAUAGUAUAUAGGUAUAUAGUAUAUAGGUAUAUACUAUAUAGGUAUAUAGUAUAUAGGCGCACAAACAUGUCAGUGCCGGCUGAUUUGACCACGGAGAUCCGAGUGUUCGCUGAGUUCACCGCAGUCAUUACUGAUCUUAGGUGUAUUUGAAACUUUUAGUUUUUUUUUUUAUGACGGUAGUAUUACUACUAGAGGGACAAUCGGUUCUUAUAUACAUCGCCGUAUUCUCUUGAAAGAUUAUGACUCGAUGCAGAACAUUCAAUAAUUGAAAAUGUAUAACUCAAAUCUCAAACAUGAUCGCCCGUACACACCGUGACACCGGGUUGUCCGUUUUUUACGGCUCUCCCUGAACGCAACAUACACGUUAGGCUAAAUACUAGAGCUUUGGCUAAAGUCAUGGAGUACCCGAGGAAAGCGGGUACGACAGUAGGAACACGCUACGUGUGGACAUCCAUUGGAUCUAGUCACAGUGACUCUAGAUUGUAACCGUGCACUUUGUCACUAAGUAUAGUUUUACCACAUGUUCCAGAAAGAGUUAUUGUUGUACGACAGCUGAAUGUUCAUUGCCUAUACAGAGGGAUUUGUUUAAAGAGAAGUCUAUAUUAUAUAUUGCAACUUCUGAAUGGAAAAAGAGUCCUGGUCAUCCUCACUGAGCACCGUCCCACCGCAAGAGUUUCCUAGUGAACCUCACGACCUGCCAGGCAUCAAACGACUCACGGCGUUGACGUCAGACGAGAAUGCGUCCUCAAAGGUGUUUGUGUAUACGUGAACGAAGAUCCAGAGAAGCUGGUGAGGAAUACACGAAUAUCGGCAGUGACAGCAGUCGGCCAUGGCAGAGACGGUCUUUGGAAUCUUUGUCAUUAGAAACGAAGGUGCAGAGCCCAGUGAUGACCCCGAGGAUGUUGGAAUCAUUCUGGAGGGGUGGAAGUGCUAGAUGAGUUGGGAAAUGUACCUUUUGCAGUGUCAAUGUUGCUUGCUCUUGUGUAUGCCCUCAACCUGAGCUACCCACAAGAGCUCAAGUACACCUUUGAAGCUCUGCAGAAGAUCAUGAUGGAACGAGAUGGAAACAAACUAUCCAUAAAAAGGACAAGCUCUCAAAACAAAGCUUUUCUGUUAAUUUGAGACUGCCUACUGAUGGCUAAAGAAGGUUGGUAGGAAACGUCUGUGUUUCUUUGUUAUUUUCUGUAUUCCUGUAAGUUCGUAAUUGCAAAUGUUUUAAGAAGACUGUUUGAAUUGUUUUCAGAGGAAUGUGUGUACAAAGACAUUGUCUUUAUUGUUCAAGGUCUAGACUUUUUCUUAGACCGCUUGUUUUUUUCAAAUAAAUUAA